UACGAAGGGGGGCUAGCGUUGUUCGGAAUUACUGGGCGUAAAGCGUGCGCAGGCGGCUGCUCAAGUCAGGGGUGAAAGCCCAGAGCUCAACUCUGGAAUUGCCUUUGAGACUGAGUGGCUUGAGUACGGGAGAGGUGAGUGGAAUUCCCAGUGUAGAGGUGAAAUUCGUAGAUAUUCGCAAGAACACCAGUGGCGAAGGCGGCUCACUGGCCCGAUACUGACGCUGAGGCACGAAAGCGUGGGGAGCAAACAGGG
rnacentral:rRNA from 1 species